CCCUUAGAUGUACUGGGCCGCACGCGCGUUACACUGAUGCAUUCAACGAGCUUAUAACCUUGGCCGAGAGGCCUGGGCAAUCUUGUUAACGUGCAUCGUGAUAGGGAUAGAUUAUUGAAAUUAUUAAUCUUGAACGAGGAAUUCCUAGUAAACGCAGAUCAUCAAUCUGCAUUGAUUACGUCCCUGCCCUUUGUACACACCGCCCGUCGCACCUACCGAUUGGAUGGUCCGGUGAAGCCUCGGGAUUGUGGUUCUUGCCGCUUUAUUGUGGCGUGACCGCGAGAACUUGUCUAAACCUUAUCAUCUAGAGGAAGGUGAAGUCGUAACA
rnacentral:rRNA from 1 species